rnacentral:rRNA from 1 species
CGCUACUACCGAUUGAAUGGCUUAGUGAGCUCUGUGGACUGACUCGCAUCGUUGGCAACUUCGGCGCGAGAGGCGCAAGCAUAUAAACUUGUCCAUUUAGAGGAAGUAAAAGUCGUAACAAGGUU